GUGUCAGCAGCCGCGGUAAUACGAGGUGGACAAACGUUAUUCGGAUUUACUGGGCUUAAAGCGUGCGUAGGCGGCUCAGAAAGUUGGGUGUGAAAGCCCUCGGCUCAACCGAGGAAUUGCGCUCAAAACUACUGAGCUUGAGGGAGAUAGGGGAGAGCGGAACUGAUGGUGGAGCGGUGAAAUGCGUUGAUAUCAUCAGGAACACCGGUGGCGAAGGCGGCUCUCUGGAUCUCUUCUGACGCUGAGGCACGAAAGCUAGGGGAGCAAACGGGAUUAGAUACCCCGGUAGUCC
rnacentral:rRNA from 1 species